ACAUUGAACCUGCUAGUGCCAUCAAGGAAACUCGUUUGGACAUUCGAAGCCUAGAAAAAGGGCAAAGCGAUAAAGUAAAAAUCAUCGGAUCAGUGCAAGCUCUAUUGCGCCAACUAGUUUCAAAUCUCCUUAACUUCUUAGGAAGGACAGAAGCUUCAAUUCAACUUAAUCAAAUCCAAGGUGCAGCUUUGCAGAUGCAAAGAGAACUACAAUGGUUUAAGGUAAUCUAUCUCAUUCCAAA